rnacentral:rRNA from 1 species
UUUUAUGAGAGUUUGAUCCUGGCUCAGGACGAACGCUGGCGGCGUGCCUAAUACAUGCAAGUCGAACGCUUUUUCUUUCACCGGAGCUUGCUCCACCGAAAGAAAAGGAGUGGCGAACGGGUGAGUAACACGUGGGUAACCUGCCCAUCAGAAGGGGAUAACACUUGGAAACAGGUGCUAAUACCGUAUAACAAUCGAAACCGCAUGGUUUCGGUUUGAAAGGCGCUUUUGCGUCACUGAUGGAUGGACCCGCGGUGCAUUAGCUAGUUGGUGAGGUAACGGCUCACCAAGGCAACGAUGCAUAGCCGACCUGAGAGGGUGAUCGGCCACAUUGGGACUGAGACACGGCCCAAACUCCUACGGGAGGCAGCAGUAGGGAAUCUUCGGCAAUGGACGCAAGUCUGACCGAGCAACGCCGCGUGAGUGAAGAAGGUUUUCGGAUCGUAAAACUCUGUUGUUAGAGAAGAACAAGGAUGAGAGUA